AGAAGCUCAGUACAGGCAGCAGCAGGGAGGCCGCAGGGCCAGAGCCUCCAACACCUGGGCUUCGGUCCUGGGCUCCUUCUGCCCGGAAAGACCUCUGGGCCUGGGUCAGUUGUUUUCCCGCCUAGAGCCACUGCCCACCUAGGUGGAAAGCGCAGUGGGAGAAUGGGGCGGGGACUCAGUGCCCCAGGAGCUCUGACAGCUCCCAGCAUAACUCCCGUUCAUUUCUUCCCACGAAGGAGAGUGUAGGAGAGCCCGCAUGAGGUUCCCCAAGGGCACGUCCAACGUGGGAGACCCUGGAGUCCCCCGGAAGGGAUUGCGGGGGCUCCUCUGGAGUUGCAGGAGGCACACCCGCCCCCUGACGAGGGGGAGUGGCUGGUGUCUGCAGAGGCCACCCUGAAGACUUGCGGAGAGGAUGGUGGAGACCACCCAGUGGGCUGCCCCUGCCGUGGUGCCACUGUGGCCCACAUCAUCACGUGUGACUCUGAGAUGCAGAGAAAAGGAGCCGACUGACGUCACUUCAAACCAGCAGGGAGGAGGCUGAGCACCCAGAGGGCCGUGCGCACGUGUGCUUGUGCGCAUGUGCCCAAGUGUGCACCUGCGCACCACGCCAGGGCAGCAGGGCGCCUGCCCCCGGGAGGUCUUCGCCAGCCACCCACCAGCCCUGGCCAUUCUCUGGCCUGAGGAGCCCAGCUGGCUUUCUGCAACCUGCCCCGGAGCGUAGACCUCCUCCCUUGGCCAACGCGCCCCUCCUAUACGAUCCAACCUGGUUCAGCAGUGUCCUGCUUUCUCCCAUUCCAUCUGUGACAGACGAAGGCCGCGGGCCUCCCGUCACCCCCAUCUCACUCCUGACUCACAGCAUUGCCCUCCUGUUUCUCGAACUUUCAGGGAACACCUUCAGGCACUCCUCACAGGCUGCUAUAAUCCUGCUUAUGAUAGGCUCCAUUCUACUGUUUUGGGGUGAAAUGUCUCAUUUAAGUCCAACCUUGCAGGAACCUUGCCAGUCUGAUUGACUCCUAGCACACAUUAUCAAUAAUGUUUGCUGGACAAGUGAGGAAGGAAUUCGUGCAGCCCCUGAAAUGUCCCCAGAUGACCACCCAGUGCUCUGAGUCAGCCCAUGCAUCAUGUUUAGAUCAGGACCCUGCAGCUCUGGAGCUCUGUUGCCACUGAAUUCACAUUUUAGGUUUAUGGAAUUUAUUACUGUAAUUCUGCAAUAAAGGUGCCUGACCUAUGUGCUGUCAUUCCCAGGAGCUCAGAGGGAUGGAAAUGGCAAGCAAGGCAAUACUCCUUGGAGCUAGUUUCCAGGAGGACUCGUGGAAAGGGGCACUGUCCAGGGUCACUGGGUUUGGUUCAUCACCACGAUCCGAUUGUCAGUUUGAUGCUGAGCCUCAGCACCC
rnacentral:lncRNA from 1 species